UAUUAUUUUAGAUGUAAAAUAUUUAAACUUGAGUAGUAUUAGAAUAAGGUCUUGAAACUUAAAGAAUUUGGCGGUAUUUUAGUCUAUUUAGAGGAAUCUGUCCCGUAAUCGAUAAUCCGCGUUGGACCUUACUUGGUUUAAAAAUAUGUAUACCGCUGUUGUUGAAAAUCUUUUUAGAGUUAAUUUUUUUAAUAUUUGUUAAAUAAUUUUUCAGGUCAAGGUGCAGUUUAUAAUCAAGUGGAGAUGGAUUACAAUAUUUAUUAAAUAUACGAAUUUUUACUUGAAAUUAGUAAUAUAAAGGUGGAUUUAAUAGUAAUAUUAUGAAGAUUGUUAAUAUGAUUGUAGCUCUAAAAUAUGUACACAUCGCCCGUCGCUCUCGUUAUGUUUAAGGUGAG
rnacentral:rRNA from 1 species